AGCUGUUGAGCAGGACUGUGACAAAGAGCAACAAAGAGCCACAAAGAGCAGGCUGCGGGCGGGACCAUCGGGACCAUCACAGAGGCAUCAGCCCUGCCCCGGAGUGGCUGCAGAUGCAUCCCUGAGGGAGGGGGCUGGGGUGCAGGUGCUCCCUCCCGAACAGGGGGUUUGUUAGCUUCAUCUGCAAGGCCCUGAAGCCAGGCUCUUUUCAAAUCGUCAUCAUGUGUGCACCGUACACUCCCUUCUGACUCUGGGGGCCUGGGCGCCUGCUUAGUGCAGCCUUAAAUUUUUUACGUACCAGUAAAAAUACUGCAUGUAAGAUUCUGUUCCUAGGAGGAUAAAGGGAUGGCCAGAGCUGGCUAAGCGGAGUCUCGACGGACUAAAGGUAUGGGAAAAUGAAGACGUGGACCUACCACGUUCUCUUCUACCUGGAACUUAGGAUUUGUAAAUUGCAUUUAGAUGUCAUUUGUCACAUUGGUAGGCUGUGACUUAAUACACUCACAAAGAGGAUUUUUCCAAGUAUUUAAACUGUGUAGAUGCUGCAAAAAAUCAGACUGAGGCAAAGCCCUGCAGCCAACCCCAGCAGCAAGAGGUGAGGACCCCCUGUCUGUCCUGGGCCCCACUCAGGCACUAUCCUCAUCUCUUAGAAUAGUUUGUUACCUUUUCUUUCCUGAAGCCUCAUCAAAUGCAACUUUUUCUAUGGCAUUCAACGGACUUUAAAGCAAAGAUUACAGAGAAAUUCUUAUGCAAGUCAGAAAAUCUGCUUAUUAUGGGUUUGAUAAACCAAAUUGUGUUACCUGUUUAUAGACAUAGAUUUCUAUCAGCCAGACGUGUGCACAGCACAGCACAAACCAUAGCCACCCCCGUCGAAGUCUCUUUCUGUGCAUUUCCCAGCCACGCCCCCAGCUUGGGCCCCUGGGGUCACCUCCCACUCCGGCUAGAAAGAGAGAAGGAGACAGUGAAUUCCUCGGAAGCCGCUCGCCCUGCACCCAAGCGGGACUUGCACCACAAGCAGCCCCAGGAAAAAACUCUCCAUUUCUUUCUCGUGGAGGCUCCAGAAGAAAAGCUGCGCAUUUACCCGGCGCAUUCUAACCGCCUUUGAGGUUCCCUCCGGCAGCCAUGGGAGCCGUGGUGGGGCAAAGCCUGGGCUGGGAGACGCUGCAAGGCUCUGGGGAGCAGUGAGGCGCCGCGCCAGCUCCUCCGUUCCCGUCAUAGCCUCACACGGGCUUCGCUGGACACGUCCAGGACGCAGCGCCGGUGGGCACCAGGCGUUGAGCGCCUGCCCCGCGUCUGUGCUAAGACCUCCCUUUGCAUUAUUGCAUUUAUUCCAACGAUGGGGUGAGGACCCUGAAAUUGUCUGGGAUCCACACCAGUCGGAAGAAAAAAAGAAUAGAAAACGCAGGGAUUCACCUCCUCUGCAGGCACCCUCAUGCCGAACACUAAACAGGAUGAUGUUGAAAAGGAUUUGGAGAUUUAUGCAGGUCACGAGCUUGAGGAAUUUUUCCAUUGAAUGCACCAUGCCUUGGGUUUCCCGUUUCCCACUGAAAAUCCCAUGGCUGACACUUUUUUUAUAUCAUUACCUUGGGAGAUGAAGAAAAACUCAUCUGUUAGGGCAGCUCUGUGAAUGCAGAUGCUUUGGGUUGUUUUGAAUGAAUGACUGAAUGUUCUGAAAUAAAGCAGGAAGGUGCCUGCGGGA
rnacentral:lncRNA from 1 species